GAGGAGGCAGUCAGCGUGACCCUGUAUUAGGUGUUGUCUCCUCUUGUUGUUGUCCUUUUACAUUUCCCCAUUCUGUCAGCAGCCUUUUCUUCCCUUACCUCAGUGAAAUGAGUCAGAAUGAGACGCUGGACGUUGACUCCCCAUCUGCACGCAACGCUUGUCCAUCUGUCAGCUCCCCAGACAGACACGAUGACAGAUGAAACACCGGCUGCAGCUCUCACCAGCGAAGACCUACAACUAUUUAGAGGAGGACGGCCACUUAAAGACGCUCCCAUGAUACCCUGAGGCUUUUCUGCCGGAAUCCACCUCUGACAGAUGUCGGUGGAAACACCGCAUUUUUCUGCCUCUUAAUGGAGGCUUGUGCUGGCAACGUGGAGUUGAUCUUUGGAGUGACCUUGGACGUGGGAAUUACCGCAGAGUUCAGAGCAUUCCAGUUUGUAAAGUCGGAAGAGAAGAUGAAAACCCGCAGGAUGAAAAGGAAAUGCAAAACUGGAAUGCACCAUGAGAGCUUGGCAAAUCAACUUUAGUAAUGCUGCGUCCAUCUUCUGCGGAAGUUGGAGUUCGAGUUCAAGGCAGGGAAAGAUGACGGGAAAAGCCAUCUUGGAUUGUGAACUCCGGGUGGUAAGAAGUCUCCAACCUUCCGACCGGGAAAUCACAUUGGACGUCACAUGGAGAAACCCUUUUUUCUGGACAAUGAACACACAGACCUGGUCAAAGUUGAACUUUUUAAUGGCACCAGUAACAGGGGUAAUGACGUCAGAACAAAAACAACCACGACUUUAAUGAAG